UGGACUAACCAAAACUUCGUCUGAAUUAUUGGCCUCCAGAUUAAAAGAGAGAAAUCUUUUAACUAAAGAAACUAAAGUUUCUUAUUACCGCACUCGAGAAAAAGACUUACUUCCCUUUUUCGCUGAGGAGGAUAAUUUUGUAUUUUGUACUAAUAUUUCUGGUUUAAUGACUGGCAUGGGCUUGCAGAAAUAUGAACCAAUCGAUUGGCGUUUAUUUAUUUACUCGUCAAAACGGAGUUUGAAGUGUGUACUAUUGCACAACGGAAAUAAACUAGGCUCCAUACCAAUAGCACAUUCAACUAAAGUUAAGGAAGAAUACCCCACAAUAGCACUGGUCAUGAACAAAAUCAAAUAUAACAGUCAUAAAUGGGUGAUUUGCGUUGAUCUUAAGAUGGUGAACUUCCUUUUAGGACAACAAGGAGGCUACACUAAAUAUCCUUGUUUUAUGUGUUUAUGGGAUAGUAGAGCAAAAUCAGAACAUUGGUCAAAAAAAGAUUGGCCCUCUAGGGAAGCACUACUUCCAGGUAGUCUUAAUGUUAUAAAUGAACCUCUAGUGCCACGAGAUCGUAUCAUAUUGCCACCCCUGCACAUUAAACUAGGUUUAAUGAAGCAAUAUGUUAAGGCAUUAAAUAAAGAUGGUGAAUGUUUCAAAUAUAUUUCAAGGAAAUUUCCAAGUCUAAGUUCAGAAAAACUCAAGGCAGGUAUAUUUGAUGGUCCACAAAUUCGCAAGUUGGUAAACGAUCCUAAUUUCACCAGCUCAAUGUCAGAAAUUGAGAAGAAUGCAUGGGAUUCCUUUGUUUGGGUUAUCCAAAAUUUCUUAGGUAAUAGGAAGGGUGAUGAUUACAUUGCGCACGUCGAAGAGAUGUUGUCACACUUCCAGCGACUUGGAUGUAACAUAAGCAUCAAAGUGCACUUCCUACACAGCCAUUUACACCAUUUUCCUGAAAAUCUCGGUGACAUGAGUGAAGAACAGGGUGAACGAUUCCACCAAGAUCUUCGAACCAUGGAGGAACGAUUUCAGGGUCGCUGGGAUGCACAUAUGUUGGCCGAUUUUUGCUGGAGUAUUCAGAGUAGCAGUUCAUUCAAAACUAGUAGAAAAUCAUAUAAAAGAAAAUUCCUGAGUGUAUAGUUCUUGUAAUUAAAAAUGUUUGUACGUUGAGUGUAUUUUUAAUUCCCAAAAAAUACUCCCUCCUUUUAACUCAAAAACUAGAGCUGACACAUAUAAACUGAUGACAUUAUUUAAUAUCAGCAUUAAAAAUAAGCCUAGAAUCAUAAAAAUAUUCCAUGCAACAUACAUGCUGUUGGGCGGUGUAAUAAUUCUUUUUAUUUUUAUCCCUGAUUUUCAAUAUUGGUAUUAUUUGUUUUCUUUCUUAAAGUUACUUAUUGUAACUUAAUCAGAUGUUCGCCAGAUCUUCCGUUUUUGCUGUUUAUUUUAUGCUUUUUUCCCGAUCUUUAAAGUUGCUUUCUAUUUUUAUCACAUGUAUAUUUCACAGUAGCGGCUCGUCAGGGGCUGCGGGUGAAGCGCCGCUUCACCAGAAAUUAAAAAAAAAUUAAAAAGAGUUUUAAAAUCGACAUCUUUACGUUUACAAUUUAGUUUGUUUUAUAUUUUAUAACAAAUUAAUUCUUUAUUUUAUGUGAUUUAUCAAAAUUAGUGUAAUCCUAUAAAGAAUAUAUUUGUAAAAGUAUUCAGAAACCCGAGCGCGCUAAACGUAUUCUCAUCAGAGCAGCGGCGACCACCACCGCACGUUUCAAUGCAGCAGAAACAAUAAUCCGAUGCAACAACUCCCCCCGCGCUUACGACUGUUGCUAUUGCAACGGACGGACAAACACGCGAGGUAAUUUACAGAACGGCGCUGCGUAUGCAUGCCGCUGCCAGCCAAAAGUUCUUAUUCUAUUGACUUAGUUCUUAUUUAUCGGAAGUACAUUCCAUCGCGUUCGGGAAUUUUUUUAUAAAAUGUUGCCGUUAUAUGACCCAAUUUGCAUCUUGAUAGAAACACCGUUUUCUAGGUGGAAAAACGAUUAUAAAAAGGACUUUUUAAAUUCAGAGGGACCUAAGCCUUUUCUCGAUAUAGAAAAGCAGGGAAAAUCAAAAGAUAGAACCUUCGUUCGUAGGUUUAGAAAUCAGUGGUACUCUGACUAUAAAUGGUUGUGCGGUAGUGUUUAUUUAGAAAAACUAUUUCGUCUGCCCUGUCUGAUUAUUGGUGUGAAAUCGAGUGUAUGGAAUAAAGAGGGAUUUAAUAAUUCUGGAAAUGUGACAAGAGGUUGUAGUAGACAUGAAGCAUCUUCGGAGCACAUUCAAUCUGCCUUGUCCUUUGUGAAUUAAAAAAAAAACCUUACAACUAUUGAAGACGCUCUAAAGGAAAAUUCCAGGUUAUGUAUAAAACAAUUUAACGAUAAAGUUCUAUUAAAUAGAAGGUUUAUGCAGUUACCCAUUCGUGCUACUGUGUAUUUAGCCAAGCAAGAGUUAGCAUUUCGGGGGCAUGAUGAAACUUAUUCUUCGGACAAUCGUGGUAAUUUUAAAGAACUUUUGCACUCGUACAUAUCGAUUAGUAAUAUAGAUAUUCAAGAGCAUUAUAAAAAGGUAUCAUCUAUUUUCUCUGCCAAUUCAAAAACUAUUCAAAAUGAACUAAUAGACUGCAUUUCCGAUUAUCUCGAUGAACAUAUAGACCGCGAAAUAAAAGAAUGUAAUUUCUUUUCUAUUCAAGUGGACGAUUCAACCGACGUUCUUCAAAAGUCCCAAUGCAGCAUAAUAAUUAGAUUUGUUAAUAGUGCAGGGAAAGUGGUCGAAAGAUUUUUAGGAUUUUUCGAUGUAAGUUCGGACCGAACAGCUGAUGCUCUUUUUAACUUAGUUACCAAAAGAAUAGAAAAGUAUGAUUACCGCUCGAAAUUAGUGGGGCAGUGUUUUGACGGUGGUAGUGUUAUGUCUGGACAUGUAAAUGGUCUGCAAUCAAAAAUUAAAGUUGAAGCUCCACAAGCCGUUUUUGUACACUGUGCAGCCCACCGUUUUAAUUUAGUACUCCAACAGAGUUGCAGUACUAUACCACAAUGUCGAAUUUUUUUUGCAAAUGUGAAUAGUUUUCCCUCAUUUUUUCAUCAUUCUUUAAAAAGAACUUAUGUAGCUGAUCAGAUCAUUAAAAGAAGAAUACGUACGUCAGCAAUAACGCGAUGGACAUCUAACUCUAAGAUUGUAAAUGUUAUUCAUAAUGAAUGGGAUGGUUUAAAACAAGUAUUUGCUGAAAUUAGAGACGACAAAACUUCGGAUCAAACUUCAAUAACUCAAAGCGUUGGUUUCUUGAACCACCUCCAUGAUUUUGAGUUUGGUCUUUUAAUCAGCAUUUUUAGUGACAUUUUCGAAAUUACUAAUAUUCUUUUUGACACGUUACAGAAACGUUCAUUAAAUAUUAGCCUUUGCAUGUCACAAAUUCAGAACACCCAGCAACUUAUUAAAGAAAAGAGAAAUAAUAACAGUUUCCAAUCAUUAUUUGAUUUCGUGAGUUUGAGAGUGUCAGUGCCAUCGAAUUAUCGUCAUGGACGAAACACUUUGACGACCAAAGAACUUUUUCAAAAGUACAAAGUUCUAUAUUAUGAACUUUUAGAUACAAUAUUAGGACAAAUUGAUACGAGGUUUCAAGAUUUGGAAAAAAUUGCUUUUGUUACGUUGAUAGAUACAACUAAGUUUGAAGAGUAUUCUACGGAUUUUCCCAUUGAAUCAUUAAAUAAUUUAAAAGACUUUCCCUAAUAUAUUUACUGAUUUGCCACGGCUAAAAAUCGAAUUACACUUCAUCUAUAAUGACGAAAAUAACCGCAAUAUUCAGUUAGAUAAACUGCUGGAAUAGUUACACGAAAAUAGUGACAUUUUUAAAGAAGCUGCAAAAUUAAUUCGUCUAAUUGUGACCAUUCCUUCGUGUUUCAGUUGAACGUAGUUUUUCUUGCUUAAAAAGAAUUAAAACAUACCUACGGAAUUCAAUGACAGAAAAUAGGCUUACUAACUUAGCAAAGAUUUCUAUUGAAAAGGAACUUUUAAAUGAACUUAUAAGUGUAGAACCAUUUUAUGACGAUAUCAUCGAUAAAUUUGCAGCUUUAAAAGACCGAAGAAUAGACCUUAUCUUUAAAAAGUAAAUAAAUACUGCCUCGGAUGUAACAAAAGCGUGGAUAUAUCAAGCAAAAGGACGAAGUUACAGAGUUCACCUGCAGUUGUGGGACACCGCCGGCCAAGAAAGAUUCAUGCUUACUGUGAUACACCAGAUAUAGUAUUAUGCGGAAAUAAAGCGGAUUUAGAAGAUCGUAGAGUCGUGUCCGAAUGGAAGGCUAGAGAAUUUGCUGAACUAAAUGGGCUUCCUUAUUUAGAAACGUCUGCAGCAACUGGU
rnacentral:misc_RNA from 1 species